rnacentral:rRNA from 1 species
AUGCUUGGGGCCGGCCUAGAUUCACGCGAACGUUUUUGUUCGCUUUUUUUGUGGGCUGGGGCAAGUGCUCAGGAGGCCGUAGUAAAUAAAGGGUAUGAAGAGGAAGCGGGACCCGUGGUAAUUAAGAGGUGGACAGCGAGUUAUGAAGUCCAUUUCUUCCUUCUCUCUCUAUUCUUCUCUGUCAAAUCUGAAGAUCUCUGCAGCGGAACAAAGGAAUCGUUGUGCUCCUCCACGGCCAGUGAGAGGAUGGGCGAAGCUGCUGAUGGAGAGAUGGUUUGCAGAGUUUGUCGGAGCCCUUGCAACCGCGACAGCAGGGGAAGCAGCAUCAGCAUGUAUGUCUGGAAGGAGUUCAAAAUGGAGGGGUUGUGCCAUGCAAGGAAAGGGUUCGUUUCAAGAACCUGA